CGCGGAUUAGCUCAGAGGCAGAGCAGAAGACCCAUAAUCUUUUGGCCGAUGGUUCGAGUCCAUCAUCCGCAA
rnacentral:tRNA from 1 species